rnacentral:rRNA from 1 species
CGGGACGGGUGAGUAAUGUAUGGGGAUCUGCCUGAUGGCGGGGGAUAACUACUGGAAACGGUAGCUAAUACCGCAUAAUGUCUGCGGACCAAAGCGGGGGACCUCCGGGCCUCGCGCCAUCAGAUGAACCCAUAUGGGAUUAGCUAGUAGGUAAGGUAACGGCUUACCUAGGCGACGAUCCCUAGCUGGUCUGAGAGGAUGACCAGCCACACUGGAACUGAGACACGGUCCAG